GGGGAAUUUUCCUGCAAUGGGCGAAAGCCUGACGGAGCAAUACCGCGUGAGGGAGGAAGGCUCUUGGGUUGUAAACCUCUUUUCUCAGGGAAUAAGAACUGAAGGUACCUGAGGAAUCAGCAUCGGCUAACUCCGUGCCAGCAGCCGCGGUAAUACGGAGGAUGCAAGCGUUAUCCGGAAUGAUUGGGCGUAAAGCGUCCGCAGGCGGUUUAUCAAGUCUGCUGUCAAAGAGUUUGGCUCAACCAAAUAAAGGCAGUGGAAACUGACAGACUGGAGUGCGGUAAGGGCAGAGGGAAUUCCUGGUGUAGCGGUGAAAUGCGUANAGAUCAGGAAGAACACCGGUGGCNAAAGCGCUCUGCUGGGCCGUAACUGACACUGAGGGACGAAAGCUANGGGAGCGAAUGGGAUUAGAUACCCCAUAGUC
rnacentral:rRNA from 1 species